UAUGUCGCUCGCACCAGUUCCCGGGCCUCUUUCGAUCGCAGCCGGGAUUUAUCGUCAUUAAAUAUCUCUAAAUAUUGUAUCUGUUCAAGUUAAUAAAAUAAAUUCCAUUGCAUUUAAUCUGUUUGCUCCGAGUAUCAAUCGUCUCGAACAGGUGAAAAAUGGAUACAUUCGAAGAGUAACAGACGACGAAGUGAAAUCUCUAGCUCUGAUACUCGACGACAAGGAUAUACACAGAGGGUUUCGCACGAGCAAUUUUCAAAGUGAGUUUUCACGCGAGUUCCACCAUUCUGCACGUCGAUGCCGAUCGGCCUAUCCGGUGGUUGGAAUAAAAUUCAAUUUAAUCUCGCGGACUUCACGCGGAAAGCGUACGGGACAAAUUAGGUCGUAAUUACACGCAUACAGAUCCAAGCAAACUGCAGGAUUCGACGUAUCUAUUUUGCGGACAGGUUUACGGGCGUUUCGUAUAUACCUAUCUCUACGG
rnacentral:lncRNA from 1 species